GGGCGUUGUACGGUCCCGUGUACGGAAGCCCAUUCCUAAACGACCGAGUCUUUCUGGACACCGAACGACGUUUAAGAACGUGUUUUCGGCACGAGCGAAUGCAUUCAAUAAGUUUUUGAGGGGCGGAACAAAACAAGAUAAGCCGUAUCAACAAGUUGCAGUGAACACCUCCAGAAACAAUUUUCGUCGUCACUGAGAAAUAUUUACGUGUGUAAAUAUGUACCAUUGCCAGUUCUUACUAAAAUCGUUACUUUUUUUUAAUAUAAUGCUGUAAGCGAUACAUUUUCGAGGUAUUGUAAUAUAGUCUACAUAUUGAUCGGGGACGUUUUUGCCUAGUUUAAAAAGAUUUUAUGUAAUAUUUUAUAUAAGAUUUUACAUCCGAAAUUACCAUCUGAUUUUAAUUAUCAAUUAUAUGGUUAUUUUACUGUAUCUGAAGACGGAAUGCAAUUACCUACGAUUUUAGCGAUUCUCUGUAAGUAAAUAUCGACGCCUUCUGAAAACCUAAAUGAUAAACAGUUAUUAGCUGGUCACUUAGCUGUCACUAACCGCAAACCUAACAUGGUUAUUUCUCAAAAUAUCAUUAUUCAACAUUUUUUAAUGAAUGAGUAAAUGCAUUUUGGCGGCAGAUCAUAUCAACAAAUGUUCAUUAUACAGCGAAUAAAAUGGUAAAAGUGUA